rnacentral:lncRNA from 1 species
UCUCUCAUAUAUGUUAUGAUGGUAUGAUACUAAACCCCUAACGGGAAGGAUUGUGCCUGAUGUUCAUAUGAUGAAAUCAUAAUCUUUCAGUCAGUUUAAUUGAAGUCUGGAGCUGGCAUGUCAGAUAACUGCUAGUAGUCUGUUGUUAUUUAUGUAUUAUUGUCAUUUUGUUUAUUUUCUUUGGUUUACAUCUUCUGACAUCAGACUCGGACUUCUCUUGAACUGAAUUUUAAUGUGCGUAUUGUUAUGCGUUUACUUUUCUACAUUGGCUAGAGGUAUAGGGGGAGGGUUGAGAUCUCACAAACAUGUUUAACCCCGCUGCAUUUUUGCGCCU